GUACGGAUAGCUCAGUUGGAUAGAGCAACAGAAAGCAGCGCCGGUUCGAAUCCGGCUCCGGCU
rnacentral:tRNA from 2 species